CAAUAGCGUAUAUUAAAGUUGUUGCGGUUAAAAAGCUCGUAGUUGGAUCUCGGCAGGCAGGGGGUGGUUCGCUCUUAGCGCUACUGCCCCAUUUGCCUGUGUGAUUGGCGGAGGUUUCGGGGUGCUCUUCGUUGAGUGACCCGGGGCGCCGUCAGGUUUACUUUGAAAAAAUUAGAGUGCUCAAAGCAGGCUUUUCACGCUUGAAUAUUCGUGCAUGGAAUAAUGGAAUAGGAACUCGCUUCUAUUUUGUUGGUUUUCGGAAAUCGAGUUAAUGAUUAAUAGGGACAAUUGGGGGCAUUAGUAUUCAGACGACAGAGGUGAAAUUCUUGGACCGUCUGAAGACUAACUACUGCGAAAGCAUUUGCCAAGAGUGUUUUCAUUAA
rnacentral:rRNA from 1 species